rnacentral:rRNA from 1 species
AUACGUAGGGGGCGAGCGUUGUCCGGAAUGAUUGGGCGUAAAGGGCGCGUAGGCGGCCCGGUAAGUCUGGAGUGAAAGUCCUGUUUUUAAGAUGGGAAUUGCUUUGGAUACUGUCGGGCUUGAGUGCAGGAGAGGUAAGUGGAAUUCCCAGUGUAGCGGUGAAAUGCGUAGAGAUUGGGAGGAACACCAGUGGCGAAGGCGACUUACUGGACUGUAACUGACGCUGAGGCGCGAAAGUGUGGGGAGCAAACAGGAUUAGAUACCCUGGUAGUCCACACUGUAAACGAUGAAUGCUAGGUGUAGGUGGUAUCGACCCCUUCUGUGCCGCAGUCAACACAAUAAGCAUUCCGCCUGGGGAGUACGGCCGCAAGGUUGAAACUCAAAUGAAUUGACGGGG